AUUGGCAUAGGGAGGAUAGCAGUGAGUCAGAUACGGAGUAUAGCUCGGUGGGUGAGUGAGAUAGGGAGUAUAGGAGUGAGUGAGAAAGGCCAAGGAGUAUAGCUCAGUGGGUAGAGCGACUGGCUGGCACCCGGGAGGCUGGGGAUCGAUUCCAGGUGUGAGUGAGUGAGAUUGGCAUAGGGAGGACAGCAGUGAGUGAGAUAGGCUUAGGGAGUAUCGGAGUGAGUGAGAUAGGCGUAGGGAGUAUAGCUCAGUGGGUGGGUGAGAUAGGCAUAGGGAGUAUAGUUCAGUCGGUGAGUGAGAAAGUAAUAGGGAGUAUAGCUCAGUGGGAAGAGUGGCUGGCUGGCACCCGGGAGGCCGGGGUUCGAUUCCAGGUGGGAGUGAGUGAGAUAGGCAUAGGGAGUAUAGCUCAGUGGGAAGAGUGGCUGGCUGGCACCCGGGAGGCCGGGGUUCGAUUCCAGGUGUGAGUGAGAUAGGCAUAGGGAGUAUAGGAGUGACUGAGUGAGUGAGAUAGGCAGAGGGAGGAUUGCAGCCAGUCAGUGAGAUAGGGAGCAUAGCUCACUGGGUGAGUGAGAUAGGCAUAGGCAGUAUAGCUCAGUGGGUAGAAGGCUGGCUGUCACCCGGGAGACCGGGGAUCGAUUCCAGGUGUGAGUGAGUGAGAGUGGCAUAGGGAGGAUAGCAGUGAGUGAGUGAGUGAGAUAGGCAUAGGGAGUAUAUCUCAGUGGGAAGAGUGGCUGGCUGGCACCCGGGAGGCCGGGGUUCGAUUCCAGGUGUGAGUGAGUGAGAUUGGCAUAGGGAGGAUAGCAGUGAGUGAGAUAGGGAGUAUAGCUCAGUGGGUGAGUGUGAUAGGGAGUAUAGGAGUGAGUGAGAAAGGCCAAGGAGUAUAGCUCAGUGGGUGAGUGUGAUAGGGAGUAUAGGAGUGAGUGAGAAAGGCCAAGGAGUAUAGCUCAGUGGGUAGAGUGACUGGCUGGCACCCGGGAGGCUGGGGAUCGAUUCCAGGUGUGAGUGAGUGAGAUUGGCAUAGGGAGGAUAGCUCAGUGGGUGAGUGAGAUAGGGGGUAGAGCUCAGUGGGUGAGUGAGAUAGGGAGUACAGCUCAGUGGGUGAGUGUGAUAGGGAGUAUAGGAGUGAGUGAGAAAGGCCAAGGAGUAUAGCUCAGUGGGUAGAGUGACUGGCUGGCACCCGGGAGGCUGGGGAUCGAUUCCAGGAGUGAGUGAGAUUGGCAUAGGGAGGAUAGCAGUGAGUGAGAUGGGGAGUAUACCCACUGAGUAUAGCUCAGUGGGUGAGUGUGAUAGGGAGUAUAGCUCAGUGGGUGAGUGAGAUAGGGAGUAUAGGAGUGAGUGAGAAAGGCCAAGGAGUAUAGCUCAGUGGGUGAGUGUGAUAGGGAGUAUAGGAGUGAGUGAGAAAGGCCAAGGAGUAUAGCUCAGUGGGUAGAGUGACUGGCUGGCACCCGGGAGGUUGGGUAUCGAUUAAAGGUGUGAGUGAGAAAGAUUGGCAUAGGGAGGAUAGCAGUGAGUGAGAUAGGGAGUAUAGCUCAGUGGGUGAGUAAGAUAGGGAGUAUAGCUCAGUGGGUGAGUGUGAUAGGGAGUAUAGGAGUUAGUGAGAAAGGCCAAGCAGUAUAGCUCAGGGGGUAGAGUGUCUGGCUGGCACCCGGGAGGCUGGGGAUCGAUUCCAGGUGUGAGUGAGAUUGGCAUCGGGAGGAUAGCAGUGAGUGAGAUAGGGAGUAUCGCUCAGUGGGUGAGUGAGAUAGGGAGUAUAAGAGUGAGUAAGAAAGGCCAAGGAGUAUAGCUCAGUGGGUAGAGUGACUGGCUGGCACCCGGGAGGCUGGGGAUCGAUUCCAGUUGUGAGUGAGUGAGAUUGGCAUAGGGAGGAUAGCAGUGAGUGAGAUAGGGAGUCUAGCUCAGUGGGUGAGUGAGAUAGGGAGUAUAGGAGUGAGUGAGAAAGGCCAAGGAGUAUAGCUCAGUGGGUGAGUGUGAUAGGGAGUAUAGGAGUGAGAAAGGCCAAGGAGUAUAGCUCAGUGGGUAGAGUGACUGGCUGGCACCUGGGAGGCUGGGGAUCGAUUCCAGGUGUGAGUGAGUGAGAUUGGCAUAGGGAGGAUAGCAGUCAGUGAGAUAGGGAGUAUAGCUCAGUGGGUGAGUGUGAUAGGGAGUAUAGCUCAGUGGGUGAGUGUGAUAGGGAGUAUAGGAGUGAGUGAGAAAGGCCAAGGAGUAUAGCUCAGUGGGUAGAGUGACUGGCUGGCACCCGGGAGGCUGGGGAUCGAUUCCAGGUGUGAGUGAGUGAGAUUGGCAUAGGGAGGAUAGCAGUGAGUGAGUGAGAUAGGGAGUAUAGGUCAGUGGGUGAGUGAGAUAGGGAGUAUACGAGUGAGUGAGAAUGGCCAAGGAGUAUAGCUCAGUGGGUAGAGUGGCUGGCUGGCACCUGGGAGGCUGGGGAUCGAUUCCAGGUGUGAGUGAGUGAGAUUGGCAUAGGGAGGAUAGCAGUGAGUGAGAUAGGGAGUAUAGCUCAGUGGGUGAGUGAGAUAGGGAAUAUAGGAGUGAGUGAGAAAGGCCAAGGAGUAUAGCUCAGUGGGUUGAGUGACUGGCUGGCACCCGGGAGGCUGGGGAUCGAUUCCAGGUGUGAGUGAGUGAGAUUGGCAUAGGGAGGAUAGCAGUGAGUGAGAUAGGGAGUAUAGCUCAGUGGGUGAGUGUGAGAGGGAGUAUAGGAGUGAGUGAGAAAGGCCAAGGAGUAUAGCUCAGUGGGUAGAGUGACUGGCUGGCACCCGGGAGGCUGGGGAUCGAUUCCAGGAGCGAGUGAGAUUGGCAUAGGGAGGAUAGCAGUGAGUGAGAUAGGGAGUAUAGCUCAGUGGGUGAGUGAGAUAGGGAGUAUAGGAGUGAGUGAGAAAGGCCAAGGAGUAUAGCUCAGUGGGUGAGUGUGAUAGGGAGUAUAGGAGUGAGUGAGAAAGGCCAAGGAGUAUAGCUCAGUGGGUGAGUGUGAUAGGGAGUAUAGGAGUGAGUGAGAAAGGCCAAGGAGUAUAGCUCAGUGGGUAGAGUGACUGGCUGGCACCCGGGAGGCUGGGGAUCGAUUCCAGGUGUGAGUGAGUGAGAUUGGCAUAGGGAGGAUAGCAGUGAGUGAGAUAGGGAGUAUAGCUCAGUGGGUGAGUGUGAGAGGGAGUAUCGGAGUGAGUGAGAAAGGCCAAGGAGUAUAGCUCAGUGGGUAGAGUGACUGGCUGGAACCCGGGAGGCUGGGGAUCGAUUCCAGGUGUGAGUGAGUGAGAUUGGCAUAGGGAGGAUAGCAGUGAGUGAGAUAGGGAGGAUCGCUCAGUGGGUGAGUGUGAUAGGGAGUAUAGCUCAGUGGGUGAGUGAGAUAGGGAGUAUAGGAGUGAGUGAGAAAGGCCAAGGAGCACAGCUCAGUGGGUGAGUGUGAUAGGGAGUAUAGGAGUGAGUGAGAAAGGCCAAGGAGUAUAGCUCAGUGGGUAGAGUGACUGGCUGGCACCCGGGAGGCUGGGGAUCGAUUCCAGGAGUGAGUGAGAUUGGCAUAGGGAGGAUAGCAGUGAGUGAGAUAGGGAGUAUAGCUCAGUGGGUGAGUGUGAUAGGGAGUAUAGGAGUGAGUGAGAAAGGCCAAGGAGUAUAGCUCAGUGGGUAGAGUGACUGGCUGGCACCCGGGAGGCUGGGGAUCGAUUCCAGGAGUGAGUGAGAUUGGCAUAGGGAGGAUAGCAGUGAGUGAGAUGGGGAGUAUACCCACUGAGUAUAGCUCAGUGGGUGAGUGUGAUAGGGAGUAUAGCUCAGUGGGUGAGUGAGAUAGGGAGUAUAGGAGUGAGUGAGAAAGGCCAAGGAGUAUAGCUCAGUGGGUGAGUGUGAUAGGGAGUAUAGGAGUGAGUGAGAAAGGCCAAGGAGUAUAGCUCAGUGGGUAGAGUGACUGGCUGGCACCCGGGAGGCUGGGGAUCGAUUCCAGGUGUGAGUGAGAUUGGCAUCGGGAGGAUAGCAGUGAGUGAGAUAGGGAGUAUCGCUCAGUGGGUGAGUGAGAUAGGGAGUAUAAGAGUGAGUAAGAAAGGCCAAGGAGUAUAGCUCAGUGGGUAGAGUGACUGGCUGGCACCCGGGAGGCUGGGGAUCGAUUCCAGUUGUGAGUGAGUGAGAUUGGCAUAGGGAGGAUAGCAGUGAGUGAGAUAGGGAGUCUUGCUCAGUGGGUGAGUGAGAUAGGGAGUAUAGGAGUGAGUGAGAAAGGCCAAGGAGUAUAGCUCAGUGGGUGAGUGUGAUAGGGAGUAUAGGAGUGAGAAAGGCCAAGGAGUAUAGCUCAGUGGGUAGAGUGACUGGCUGGCACCUGGGAGGCUGGGGAUCGAUUCCAGGUGUGAGUGAGUGAGAUUGGCAUAGGGAGGAUAGCAGUCAGUGAGAUAGGGAGUAUAGCUCAGUGGGUGAGUGUGAUAGGGAGUAUAGCUCAGUGGGUGAGUGUGAUAGGGAGUAUAGGAGUGAGUGAGAAAGGCCAAGGAGUAUAGCUCAGUGGGUAGAGUGACUGGCUGGCACCCGGGAGGCUGGGGAUCGAUUCCAGGUGUGAGUGAGUGAGAUUGGCAUAGGGAGGAUAGCAGUGAGUGAGUGAGAUAGGGAGUAUAGGUCAGUGGGUGAGUGAGAUAGGGAGUAUACGAGUGAGUGAGAAUGGCCAAGGAGUAUAGCUCAGUGGGUAGAGUGGCUGGCUGGCACCUGGGAGGCUGGGGAUCGAUUCCAGGUGUGAGUGAGUGAGAUUGGCAUAGGGAGGAUAGCAGUGAGUGAGAUAGGGAGUAUAGCUCAGUGGGUGAGUGAGAUAGGGAAUAUAGGAGUGAGUGAGAAAGGCCAAGGAGUAUAGCUCAGUGGGUUGAGUGACUGGCUGGCACCCGGGAGGCUGGGGAUCGAUUCCAGGUGUGAGUGAGUGAGAUUGGCAUAGGGAGGAUAGCAGUGAGUGAGAUAGGGAGUAUAGCUCAGUGGGUGAGUGUGAGAGGGAGUAUAGGAGUGAGUGAGAAAGGCCAAGGAGUAUAGCUCAGUGGGUAGAGUGACUGGCUGGCACCCGGGAGGCUGGGGAUCGAUUCCAGGAGCGAGUGAGAUUGGCAUAGGGAGGAUAGCAGUGAGUGAGAUAGGGAGUAUAGCUCAGUGGGUGAGUGAGAUAGGGAGUAUAGGAGUGAGUGAGAAAGGCCAAGGAGUAUAGCUCAGUGGGUGAGUGUGAUAGGGAGUAUAGGAGUGAGUGAGAAAGGCCAAGGAGUAUAGCUCAGUGGGUGAGUGUGAUAGGGAGUAUAGGAGUGAGUGAGAAAGGCCAAGGAGUAUAGCUCAGUGGGUAGAGUGACUGGCUGGCACCCGGGAGGCUGGGGAUCGAUUCCAGGUGUGAGUGAGUGAGAUUGGCAUAGGGAGGAUAGCAGUGAGUGAGUGAGAUAGGGAGUAUAGCUCAGUGGGUGAGUGAGAUAGGGAGUAUACAAGUGAGUGAGAAAGGCCAAGGAGUAUAGCUCAGUGGGUAGAGUGACUGGCUGGCACCUGGGAGGCUGGGGAUCGAUUCCAGGUGUGAGUGAGAUAGGCAUAGGGAGUAUAGGAGUGACUGAGUGAGUGAGUGAGUGAGUGAGUGAGAUAGGCAGAGGGAGGAUUGCAGCCAGUCAGUGAGAUAGGGAGCAUAGCUCACUGGGUGAGUGAGAUAGGCAUAGGCAGUAUAGCUCAGUGGGUAGAAAGGCUGGCUGUCACCCGGGAGACCGGGGAUCGAUUCCAGGUGUGAGUGAGUGAGAGUGGCAUAGGGAGGAUAGCAGUGAGUGAGUGAGUGAGAUAGGCAUAGGGAGUAUAUCUCAGUGGGAAGAGUGGCUGGCUGGCACCCGGGAGGCCGGGGUUCGAUUCCAGGUGUGAGUGAGUGAGAUUGGCAUAGGGAGGAUAGCAGUGAGUGAGAUAGGGAGUAUAGCUCAGUGGGUGAAUGAGAUAGGGAGUAUAGGAGUGAGUGAGAAAGGCCAAGGAGUAUAGCUCAGUGGGUAGAGUGACUGGCUGGCACCCGGGAGGCUGGGGAUCGAUUCCAGGUGUGAGUGAGUGAGAUUGGCAUAGGGAGGAUAGCAGUGAGUGAGAUAGGGAGUAUAGCUCAGUGGGUGAGUGAGAUAGGGAAUAUAGGAGUGAGUGAGAAAGGCCAAGGAGUAUAGCUCAGUGGGUUGAGUGACUGGCUGGCACCCGGGAGGCUGGGGAUCGAUUCCAGGUGUGAGUGAGUGAGAUUGGCAUAGGGAGGACAGCAGUGAGUGAGUGAGAUACGCUUAGGGAGUAUCGGAGUGAGUGAGAUAGGCGUAGGGAGUAUAGCUCAGUGGGUGGGUGAGAUAGGCAUAGGGAGUAUAGUUCAGUCGGUGAGUGAGAAAGUAAUAGGGAGUAUAGCUCAGUGGGAAGAGUGGCUGGCUGGCACCCGGGAGGCCGGGGUUCGAUUCCAGGUGGGAGUGAGUGAGAUAGGCAUAGGGAGUAUAGCUCAGUGGGAAGAGUGGCUGGCUGGCACCCGGGAGGCCGGGGUUCGAUUCCAGGUGUGAGUGAGAUAGGCAUAGGGAGUAUAGGAGUGACUGAGUGAGUGAGAUAGGCAGAGGGAGGAUUGCAGCCAGUCAGUGAGAUAGGGAGCAUAGCUCACUGGGUGAGUGAGAUAGGCAUAGGCAGUAUAGCUCAGUGGGUAGAGAGGCUGGUUGUCACCCGGGAGACCGGGGAUCGAUUCCAGGUGUGAGUGAGUGAGAGUGGCAUAGGGAGGAUAGCAGUGAGUGAGUGAGUGAGAUAGGCAUAGGGAGUAUAUCUCAGUGGGAAGAGUGGCUGGCUGGCACCCGGGAGGCCGGGGUUCGAUUCCAGGUGUGAGUGAGUGAGAUUGGCAUAGGGAGGAUAGCAGUGAGUGAGAUAGGGAGUAUAGCUCAGUGGGUGAGUGUGAGAGGGAGUAUAGGAGUGAGUGAGAAAGGCCAAGGAGUAUAGCUCAGUGGGUAGAGUGACUGGCUGGCACCCGGGAGGCUGGGGAUCGAUUCCAGGAGCGAGUGAGAUUGGCAUAGGGAGGAUAGCAGUGAGUGAGAUAGGGAGUAUAGCUCAGUGGGUGAGUGUGAUAGGGAGUAUAGGAGUGAGUGAGAAAGGCCAAGGAGUAUAGCUCAGUGGGUAGAGUGACUGGCUGGCACCCGGGAGGCUGGGGAUCGAUUCCAGUUGUGAGUGAGUGAGAUUGGCAUAGGGAGGAUAGCAGUGAGUGAGAUAGGGAGUAUAGCUCAGUGGGUGAGUGAGAUAGGGAGUAUAGGAGUGAGUGAGAAAGGCCAAGGAGUAUAGCUCAGUGGGUGAGUGUGAUAGGGAGUAUCGGAGUGAGUGAGAAAGGCCAAGGAGUAUAGCUCAGUGGGUAGAGUGACUGGCUUGCACCCGGGAGGCUGGGGAUCGGUUCCAGGUGUGAGUGAGUGAGAUUGGCAUAGGGAGGAUAGCUCAGUGGGUGAGUGUGAUAGGGAGUAUAGGAGUGAGUGAGAAAGGCCAAGGAGUAUAGCUCAGUGGGUGAGUGUGAUAGGGAGUAUAGGAGUGAGUGAGAAAGGCCAAGGAGUAUAGCUCAGUGGGUAGAGUGACUGGCUGGCACCCGGGAGGCUGGGGAUCGAUUCCAGGUGUGAGUGAGUGAGAUUGGCAUAGGGAGGAUAGCAGUGAGUGAGUGAGAUAGGGAGUAUAGCUCAGUGGGUGAGUGAGAUAGGGAGUAUACAAGUGAGUGAGAAAGGCCAAGGAGUAUAGCUCAGUGGGUAGAGUGACUGGCUGGCACCCGGGAGGUUGGGGAUCGAUUCCAAGUGUGAGUGAGUGAGAUUGGCAUAGGGAGGAUAGCAGUGAGUCAGAUAGGGAGUAUAGCUCAGUGGGUGAGUGAGAUAGGGAGUAUAGCUCAGUGGGUGAGUGAGAUAAGCAUAGAGAUUAUAGGAGUGAGUGAGUGUGGUAGGCCAAGGAGUACAGCUCAGUGGGUAGAGUGGCUGGCUGGCACCUGGGAGGCUGGGGAUCGAUUCCAGGUGUGAGCGAGUGAGAUUGGCAUAGGGAGGACGUGAUUGAGUGAGUGAGUGAGUGAGAUAGGCUUAGGGAGUAUCGGAGUGAGUGAGAUAGGCGUAGGGAGUAUAGCUCAGUGGGUGGGUGAGAUAGGCAUAGGGAGUAUAGUUCAGUUGGUGAGUGAGAAAGUAAUAGGGAGUAUAGCUCAGUGGGAAGAGUGGCUGGCUGGCACCCGGGAGGCCGGGGUUCGAUUCCAGGUGUGAGUGAGAUAGGCAUAGGGAGUAUAGGAGUGACUGUGUGAGUGAGAUAGGCAGAGGGAGGAUUGCAGCCAGUCAGUGAGAUAGGGAGCAUAGCUCACUGGGUGAGUGAGAUAGGCAUAGGCAGUAUAGCUCAGUGGGUAGAGAGGCUGGCUGUCACCCGGGAGACCGGGGAUCGAUUCCAGGUGUGAGUGAGUGAGAGUGGCAUAGGGAGGAUAGCAGUGAGUGAGUGAGUGAGAUAGGCAUAGGGAGUAUAUCUCAGUGGGAAGAGUGGCUGGCUGGCACCCGGGAGGCCGGGGUUCGAUUCCAGGUGUGAGUGAGUGAGAUUGGCAUAGGGAGGAUAGCAGUGAGUGAGAUAGGGAGUAUAGCUCAGUGGGUGAAUGAGAUAGGGAGUAUAGGAGUGAGUGAGAAAGGCCAAGGAGUAUAGCUCAGUGGGUAGAGUGACUGGCUGGCACCCGGGAGGCUGGGGAUCGAUUCCAGGUGUGAGUGAGUGAGAUUGGCAUAGGGAGGAUAGCUCAGUGGGUGAGUGAGAUAGGGGGUAGAGCUCAGUGGGUGAGUGUGACAGGGAGUAUAGGAGUGAGUGAGAAAGGCCAAGGAGUAUAGCUCAGUGGGUAGAGUGACUGGCUGGCACCCGGGAGGCUGGGGAUCGAUUCCAGGUGUGAGUGAGUGAGAUUGGCAAAGGGAGGAUAGCAGUGAGUGAGAUUGGGAGUAUAGCUCAGUGGUGAGUGAGAUAGGGAGUAUAGCUCAGUGGGUGAGUGUGAUAGGGAGUAUAGCUCAGUGGGUGAGUGUGAUAGGGAGUAUAGGAGUGAGUGAGAAAAGCCAAGGAGUAUAGCUCAGUGGGUAGAGUGACUGGCUGGCACCCGGGAGGCUGGGGAUCGAUUCCAGGAGUGAGUGAGAUUGGCAUAGGGAGGAUAGCAGUGAGUGAGAUAGGGAGUAUAGCUCAGUGGGUGAGUGUGAUAGGGAGUAUAGGAGUGAGUGAGAAAGGCCAAGGAGUAUAGCUCAGUGGGUAGAGUGACUGGCUGGCACCCGGGAGGCUGGGGAUCGAUUCCAGUUGUGAGUGAGUGAGAUUGGCAUAGGGAGGAUAGCAGUGAGUGAGAUAGGGAGUAUAGCUCAGUGGGUGAGUGUGAUAGGGAGUAUAGGAGUGAGUGAGAAAGGCCAAGGAGUAUAGCUCAGUGGGUAGAGUGACUGGCUGGCACCCGGGAGGCUGGGGAUCGAUUCCAAGUGUGAGUGAGUGAGAUUGGCAUAGGGAGGAUAGCUCAGUGGGUGAGUGAGACAGGGAGUAUAGCUCAGUGGGUGAGUGAGAUAAGCAUAGAGAUUAUAGGAGUGAGUGAGUGUGGUUGGCCAAGGAGUAUAGCUCAGUGGGUAGAGUGGCUGGCUGGCACCUGGGAGGCUGGGGAUCGAUUCCAGGUGUGAGCGAGUGAGAUUGGCAUAGGGAGGACGUGAUUGAGUGAGUGAGUGAGUGAGAUAGGCUUAGGGAGUAUCGGAGUGAGUGAGAUAGGCGUAGGGAGUAUAGCUCAGUGGGUGGGUGAGAUAGGCAUAGGGAGUAUAGUUCAGUUGGUGAGUGAGAAAGUAAUAGGGAGUAUAGCUCAGUGGGAAGAGUGGCUGGCUGGCACCCGGGAGGCCGGGGUUCGAUUCCAGGUGUGAGUGAGAUAGGCAUAGGGAGUAUAGGAGUGACUGUGUGAGUGAGAUAGGCAGAGGGAGGAUUGCAGCCAGUCAGUGAGAUAGGGAGCAUAGCUCACUGGGUGAGUGAGAUAGGCAUAGGCAGUAUAGCUCAGUGGGUAGAGAGGCUGGCUGUCACCCGGGAGACCGGGGAUCGAUUCCAGGUGUGAGUGAGUGAGAGUGGCAUAGGGAGGAUAGCAGUGAGUGAGUGAGUGAGAUAGGCAUAGGGAGUAUAUCUCAGUGGGAAGAGUGGCUGGCUGGCACCCGGGAGGCCGGGGUUCGAUUCCAGGUGUGAGUGAGUGAGAUUGGCAUAGGGAGGAUAGCAGUGAGUGAGA